rnacentral:lncRNA from 1 species
CGGACCUUCCAACUCGGCUUCCACAGUUCCGAAGCCAGGGAGUCUACCACGUGGUGUAGAACAGUAGGGCAGCGCAUGCGCCUAAGGGACACACCCUCCCCCUUUCCUCUAGCCGUCCUUAGUUCCCAAUGACGUCGGCCAGCCCUCACGCUGCUCUUUCCUUGUUAUUGACAGCUCCGCCCCAGCUCUCGCCCCGCCCUCCCUUCCCUCCCUGUUUAAGAUUCAUCAUCAAUAGUUCUUGCCUCCUUCUGGUCUGUCUACACUGUACCAACCCCUUCCCCACAGCCCCCACCACCGCCACCCGGCCAUCCUAACCCCCGAGUGCGCGUGCCCGUCCUUCCCGGCCCUCCCCUCUCUCCUCCUCCCUCCCUUCCCCACCAAGUCGGAGCUAUUCCACGCGCGCGCGCGCGCGCGCGCGCGCGGUCCCCGGCUGUCUGGAGUCAGUUGCUCCGGCGUCCGCGCGCGCUGGUCUGUCCCUGCCCCUGCUGCUGCCGCCGCCGCGGGGGCCGCCGGGGCCUCGUCCUGUCGCCGCCUGCGGAGCGCGAGCGCCGGGACCCGGGCGCGCGGCCCCCCGCUUAGGCUCAGCCAGGUGAGCGCCGCAGCUGCCCCCCAGCCCUGGCCGCCGGGGUCCCUCCCGCUCCUGUCAGCAGCCCGAGCACCGCGCGGAGGGGGCAGGGGCGCUGAGGGGGGGGAACCCCGAGGGGCCUGGCGGAGGGAGGGAACGAGGGAGUCCCGAGGCCCGCGGAGCCAGAGCACACCCAGUAUAUGUGAGCAGUUCUGUAGAGCUCCAGGAAUGCUGACUAUUUGA